AGAGUUUGAUCAUGGCUCAGGACGAACGCUGGCGGCAUGCCUAACACAUGCAAGUCGAACGAGAAAGUUCCUUCGGGAGCAAUUAAAGUGGCGCACGGGUGAGUAACGCGUAGACAAUCUGCCCUUCAGUCUGGGACAACUUUUCGAAAGGAGAGCUAAUACCGGAUAACAAUGCAUGACACAAGUUGUAUAUUUGAAAGCUUUAUGUGCUGAAGGAGGGGUCUGCGUCCCAUUAGCUAGUUGGUAAGGUAAAGGCUUACCAAGGCAACGAUGGGUAGCGGGUUUGAGAGGACGAUCCGCCACACUGGAACUGAGACACGGUCCAGACUCCUACGGGAGGCAGCAGUGGGGAAUAUUGCACAAUGGAGGAAACUCUGAUGCAGCAAUGUCGCGUGAGUGAAGAAGGCCCUUGGGUCGUAAAGCUCUUUUAUGGGGGAAGAUGAUGACGGUACCCCAAGAAUAAGCACCGGCUAACUAUGUGCCAGCAGCCGCGGUAAUACAUAGGGUGCGAGCGUUGUUCGGAAUUACUGGGCGUAAAGGGCGCGCAGGCGGAAUAGUAAGUCGGAGGUGAAAGCCCGGGGCUCAACCCCGGAGGGUCUUUCGAAACUAC
rnacentral:rRNA from 1 species